rnacentral:rRNA from 1 species
AUUGAACGCUGGCGGCAGGCCUAACACAUGCAAGUCGAGCGAGCGGCGGACGGGUGAGUAAUGUAUGGGGACUGCCCGAUAGAGGGGGAUAACUACUGGAAACGGUAGCUAAUACCGCAUACUAUCGGAUAACCCUUAUGGGAUUAGCUGGUAGGUGAGGUAAGGGCUCACCUAGGCGACGAUCCCUAGCUGGUCUGAGAGGAUGAUCAGCCACAUGGGGAGUGAGAACCGGCCCAGACGCCCGGGGAGGCAGAAGGGGGGACUAUUGAACAAGGGGCGAAAGCCGGAUGCAGCCAUGCCGCGUGGAGGAAGCAGGCCCUAGGUUUGUAAAGUACGUUCAGUCGGGAGGCGUUACCGACAUAGGAAGCACCGGCUAACUCCGUGCCAGCAGCCGCGGUAAUUC